AGCUCAUUAUUUGAGUUCGUUGGUGCAGAACUGCAGAAACACAGCUAAUCAUUUAUUAAGACCGCCUUGACGUUUCCCUCAGCUCAGUGAAAACAACUGGUUACCCAAAGUCCCACCUGAUGCCUUUGACAAACAUCUCACUGGAGAGAGGACCUAGGAACCAUACUUUUGAAACAUAAUCAUCAAGGAAGGUAGCACCCACAUUUCCCAGUUUCUGUGAGAGCCCAACCAUGAC